GAAUAGAGCUCAGUUGGUAGAGUGCUUACCUUGCAUGCACAAGGCCCUGGGUUCAAUCCUCAGCACUAUACA
rnacentral:tRNA from 1 species